AACUACUAGCUUUAGCUCAGCUUCCGAACACCGGCCAGGGCCAGGGCUCAGGGACGCCCCAAAGUGUAACGGAAGGAGGAGUGGGUGGGAGCACACUGGGUCCGAUCGUAGCCGGGUCCCGAGCGCUGCGUGUAGACAGAGGCAGGAUGGCAAGCUGCUUCCCGGGGCGCAGGAAAGGAGGUCCCUGCCAAUCUCAAAGCAGGGAGCCCCGCGGCUAGGUCCCGCAGGGAUGGAGCAAGCAAAGAGGAAACAUGCCCAGUUCUCUCUAGACCGCCGGUGGAAACCAGCAAGCAGAGCUCACCUGCAGGGAUGCGCCCGGGCGUCUCCUCCGCCACGCCCAGGCCGGCCGCCCAGGAGAGCAGGGCGAGCAUGGGCAUCAGCCGCCCCGGCCUCGCUCCGCGGUCCCCCAUCCGCCCCUGAACCCGGGAGCCGAAGGCCUGUGGCGAGGACUUCUCGCGAGACGCUGAGACCCCGAAGAGCGCAGGACCAGACGUGAGCCCGGGGCUGGAGCGGAGGGCGGACUGGGAGGACUGCGUGGGUACCGAAGAGCACGGAGAGGAUUGAGCGGACUUCGGCGGAGUCCGAGCGCAAGGAGCGGACGACGGAACCGGAGGCGCCCGCGGCGCGGGCUUAAGAGCAGCCAAGGAGGGCGGGGCCAGGGCCGGGGGCGGGGCGCUGCUCCGGGACCCCGCGUCCCGGGCUAUCCCGGCUGCACCCCCACCCUCCGAGUCGCCUACGCCUACGUGCACCGCCUCACGCCGGGGCUCCAGGGAGCUUGCUUGUGGAACGUGCGCCCCUCUGCUCUCCCGGGGUUCCAGAAGCUUCCUCGGCACGCCCUGGCUAGACCUUCUUUCUCUACUGAACCCGGCGCUCCCGGAGGUGAGUGGUGACUGCGAGGGCUUCAGUCUGCUUGGCUGAGUAGGCGCUUGUCACACUCCCAGCUGUUCCUUCUGAACUUCGCCAUCACCGUGUCAAGGAAGGCCAUGCUUUGAUUUUAGUCUGUAAACAGAAACUUUUCAUUGUCCGGUGAACAUCUCUGCCGCUGCUGGUGCCAGGAGAGCCAUAGACUCUUUCCAGUAAUGAAGCUUGUAAACCCGACGGAGUCCAAGCCCAGCUUGGGCAACCUGAGGCUGUGCUUUAACAAGAUCGCCCUGCCAGGCACAUGGAAAAUUACUUCCGAAGAUGUAGAGGAGCCAUUCCUGGUCUCCUGGGAGCUACCUCCACUGCUUUGGGUUUUGAUUAGUAUGUCUAUGCAAAGUCAUUUGUCCUCUGGUUUUUACACUUUUAGUCCCAGGAUUUAAACUGAGUUGUGCAGGGGUGAAAGUUUUGACAACUUUGUCUCACACACUCCGUGUAUGCUUAAAAAUGAAGAAAGAAUCAAAUUGACCGCGUUCAAGAAGCUCGUAGUUAAAUCUUCCUGCAAUGGGAGGAGAAAGGAAAUACUCGUUCUAAGUCUGAUUUUUUAAAGUUAAAAUUACUCAAAGUUUAUGAUCACAGGUUUUGUAAAAUUGGCAUAAAUUCAAGAGGAAUACUAGCUAGCAGAUUGAAAGCAGGUGGGAAAAUGUGUAAAUAUUAGGAGUGUGACAUUUAAAGGAAAAAAUAAUCAUGAGACUGAGCCAGUCCUUGCUGUUUUGAAGGUCUUGGUGUGUCUGUCCUCCUCCCUCUUUUUAAUAAAGGAAAAUUGGGGAAACUUCAGACAUGAGUAGAAAUAGUCAAAGAAAUGGAAACUGUGAUUGCAGAAGAAUGGAGUAAGGAAGAAUGAAGUGAAACUUUUUUUUCUCUGAAGAGGGUCAGCUAAGAAGUGGAUUCUUUUACAGUGUGGGUGGCAGGUGCAGCGUCAUGAAUCCAAGCAGGGGCAAGUAGAAUCAGCCCUCAGAAGAAGGGCUGGUCAUUUGGCUAAAUAUGUUUCCAGAAAUCCAGACUUGGGCCUGCCAAGUUCCUUGAACUUGAUUUCUUGCUUCCCCGAACCUCUGGAGUCUUCAACUUGCCUGGCUAGUGAUGGAAUUUCCAUGUAUGCUUAGCUGUAGAGCCUACCAGUAAUUAUUGGUUACCAUGACAGUCUGUUGAGUCUCAAAGGCAGAACUUAAGAGCCUCUAUAAAGCAAUAGUCUCUGAGACUUUCAAAAUAGCCAGACGCUUCAGUAACAACCUGAAACCAAAUCCUUCCAGCCCUCUCGGGUUUCCAGCCCUCCUGUAGGCUGGAGUUGUCUACUCCACAAAUAUCUACUUCCCAUGGCAAACACUCAGCUUCUUUAGCUCAUCAAAUCCAGAUCUUACACCUAGUUUCUUUAUCUUCAUUAAUGAUCCUCUUACUUACAUGGCUCCAGAUUUUUGUCAAUCUCUGCUCUCACUAGCACCAACCUAGAGGACUGUUAUAUUUUUCUUCACAUUUUCUCUGCCUUCUUCCAUUCAUUCUUUCCUGCUUAAGUAACAUACCUCUUGAUGCCCUGGUUCAAGCUUUUUAUCACUGGCCAACUUUCCUGUGGCUGCUUCCUGUACCCAAACUGUGGAACUCUGUAUUAUGGCUUGACCCAUCAUACUCAUGAUUUUUGUUUUCAUCCCUAAACACAAAGAUUCCACAGAACCGGAAACAAUCCUAACCCAUUUGCCUACAAUUCAAAUUAUUUCACUAAAAUAUAAGCCACCUCAUUCUGUAUCCUACACUUGAUUGGUUUGGCAUACUUUGUCUCUCACCACAAGAUGAAUGUUUUGUUUUUAUUCUCCAAAAUCUGUAUAGCACUCUCUUCUCCUUUCCUCUACUCUACACCUGAUUUGGCUUCUUGCCAUGCCUUCUCAAAAGAGUUUCAGAAUCAAGCGGUUCCUGCCAAGAAACAAAAGCAAAAUUGUCCUCUUCCCCAGUGAAUCUGGAUGAAAACAGGUAACAAAAUCAGGUACAGCUCUUAGAGAAGACACUGGAGGAGAACAAAGCUGGGUCUAUAACAACUCACACAAUGGCAAGACUGAAGGUUUAUACUGAACCAUGGCCAUCGAUCAGUCCUAUCAGAUGGAGUUCAACAUUUAACCUGGAGACUUGCUCAUGUCUAAAUUGGGGGUGCAGUUUGUCCAGUAAUAAUAUAUAUAUAACCUCUAAAGAAAAAGAAAGUUUGUAUAGCAAUCAUUGUCAUCAUUUGGGUUCCUCCCAAAUGUCAGCCUUGGUUACAGGAAGAGUGUUCAGAAAAAACUGAGUAGGUGAGGUUGAAGAAAGUCCAAAAAAGACAACCAGAAGUCCAUUCAUUUUGUAAUGUAACCCAGUACAUAGGGCCUUUAGUCCACAGACCAGAUGCAUAAUUUACCCCUCAUAGAUAGCAUAGUCAAGGUGCAAGAUAUCUGCACUAUCUUUAUUCUCAACUCCAACAUUCCUUGACGGAAGGGCCAUGAAACUCUGCCUGUUUUCCACACAUUCCCAGCAUGCUGUGCUCAGAGACACAGCAACCUGCUAAUGAUUGUGUAACUCUGGACUACAGGAAGUUAGGUUGGCAUGCUCAGAAAUGGUAAGAUCAGAGGAGAAAACAGGAAUAAGCCUGCAUUUGCAAGUUCAUGUUAUCUUUCUGUAUAAAGACUUCUAACAAACAACACACCCCUCCUUCAUUGAACCAACCAGCUCAAGUUAAGCUCAACCACCUUAGAGAUUCUGUAUCUCUUGUCCCACGAAACAGCUGAGCACGUAGGGAGCCUGCCUGACUUCCUCCUUUGAUCUAAGUGAACAGAAAAGCCCUGUGAAUGUUGUAGACAGAGCAGAAGUUUGCUUUGAGGUGAGUUAAAAAAGAAUGAGAUUCCAGAUGUUGGAUGAAGAAUCAAGGGGCAGGUGUGGGUGAAAGGCAACACUACAGACCGAUUUAAAGACUGGAGCCCAGCAAAAAGGUCAUGGUGUUAACCACAUUGGUACUACUAAAUCAAAGUCAAUUUCUCAAUAAGUUUUACUGUACAGCCAACAAAAUGUGAUGGUCUGUAUGUGGGUGUAAGAGGAAAAAUGUCAAGGAAUAUUUAUUCAGUGACUAUUUGUUGGGGGAAUUAGAGGUUGUGCUCUGGGGAUAUGCUUCAUGGUGGGUGGACAGGGAGAGGAACACUAU